rnacentral:lncRNA from 1 species
CUGACACAAAUGGGUCUGCUCUGCUCUUAUAUAUGUAUUCUGUAACUUAUGCAUAAGUACUCCUCCAUGCAUCAUAAAUUCUGUUGACCAUGAUAUGCCAAAAAUAAGUUUUUUUAAAAAACAAAGUCCGUGAAUGUUUUUGGCUCUUGCAUUUUCACGCUGAUGUAUCUCUAUAUGUGCUUUAAGGUUAACUCUUUUUGCUUGGGAUUGUUUGGACAAGUGCUUUGUUGGAUUGAAACUCUACCAUUUAUUGAAGAGGAUUUUUCAAGGAAAAGGCAAUGAAGACCACUUCCAAACCAUUCAUCACAGAGCUUUUGCAUGGGCUUCAUAUGCUGCCGUUGUCACUCUGGAAUUGCUGGAUCAGCUUGAAAAAAAUGAAGCGUGUAGAGGUCCUCGUAACAGACAGAAAAGGAGGGGUUUGUGGGAUGAGGCGCAGGCAUGAAAGACACUGGUGGGAGACAAAAACGACAACUGGAUUACAGCUGCCUGCUGGGCAAAUUGCUGGCUGAAAGGACGUCGCUGCAUAUACAGAUGCCUCAGCAUCUACAGUCGCUGUAUGAAGGCUGCUUACCCCAGCUUCCGUUCUGCACAGCUACAAAGGGAGCAGAAUGGCAAAAGGAGCACAGUCCCAUGCUCCCAAACACACCUCCUAAACACCCAUGGGCAGCAGCGCCAGGGAGCAUCAAGUUGUUCCCAGGAAGCAGUCAUGGCUCUGGGUUGUUAGUGACUGCUGCACGUUGGCUUGGUGGUCAUUUGGCAUUGGCGGCCCGUGGCACUGAGUGCCACAGCACUGCGCAGCUGAGUGUUGGAAGUCCCCACUGGCAAUAUCAUGCUCUCUGCUCCAUCUAUGGAGAUGGAUGAGUCCAAGUGGAUCAGCACGUCCUCAGGCACAAAUGCGGUGCUUCACAACAGCUAUCGAUAGUGCUUCCCCGUGCUGAAGGAAAAUGGGAACCUGCAACACUGGCAUUACAUCACAGGCAGUGGCUGGUUAUUGAUGUCAUCAUUCCUGUCACUUGCCUGAUAUAUACUGCCUGCAGUGACUUACCUCCGAUCUAUAGAGGCUGGCUCCUGGAGGUCUGCCUUCCAGUUAGCAGCGCCGGCGAGCAGCAGCACCUGUGUCUCCACGCCAGACAGCUGGCACGCUCCAUGCAUGCCACCGCGCACCAUCUGUGCCACACAUCACGUGCCAGUUACGUGACUGGGGAGAGUCAGGAGGAAGAAAAAUAUUUGCUUCCAUGAAUCCUCCUACUGAGUAAAGUUCUUGUAGCAGAAGUUUUCCAGUUCCUGAGGAUGCUGCUGACUGCCUUUCCUUUCUUGCUUAAGUCUCCACAGUGCUGAAAAUGAAGUCCAAGAUGUGUGUUCUGCACGUUUGCCAUUGCAACUCGAGGAGACAGAGCUCAGAUGAAGUUCCAGCUAGGCAAGAGACCAAAGUUCACCCUACCCACAGCACUGCAGAUUGCUGCACAGCCCCAUCUUUGUGCACUGGAGAAGCAAAGCACGCGAGGAGGGAGCGCGCUCCCAGCUGCCAGGGGCUGACAACCGAAAGGUGCAAUAUGGGACAAAGCAGAGCACAGAGAGUGAUGUGGGAACGUUAACACUUGUAAGCUAACAGAUGUGCAGGAAUGUCCUCGGCUCGCCAUCGCUUUUCUCUCCAGCAGAAUAUGACUGACAACAGAACACCAGGGAACAGCUGGGUCGAAACGCAUAAUAUUUUCCUGCUAGAGAAGGAUGCUGAUUAGGCUGCGGAGUACCUAAUUGGGUCUUGGCCUUGAAUGAUGGAAAACUAAAGCCAGGAGGAGCACACCAAUGAGCAGCACCAUGUUACCAGCAGAGGUUCGGUGGCUGGAGGAGCGGAACAUUAGCACAUCCCUAAGGCCAGGAAGUUCAUAUGAAGUUUCUGAACCUCCACUUCGGCCCUUAGGGAGAAACAGCCCGGAAAUAAGAUGCGGACAAUGGCAGUUCCAACCCAACCCAUGACCUCUGCCUUGAAACAUGGUGGGUCAGCCAGGAGGUGAGGAGGUGGGGUAAAGCAGAUGAGCUGGAUGAGGAAUACGGUGACAAACUAACUGGUGGGAAGAAGUUGCAGAACAGUGGAGAUCCCACCGCCAUUCAGCCAUGAUGGAGGACGUGUUUUCAGACACAGCCCACUCCUCCUGCCAAUUUGCUGGGGUUGCAGAAGAAAGAGGAGGAAGAGGAGAAGGAGGAGUGGCCAGUGGUGGUGGUUGCUCUGGCUGCAGCAGCUGUGGAGGCCCUGCUAAUACAGUAACUUCCUUAUCUCAGGAAACCCAAGUGGCUCCAACAAGAGAAACAGAGUAGGACAAUCCAGGAGAAGACAGCUGACUGCAGUGUUUACUAGACUGCGGAAUAGACAACUUACAUUGUUAAAAUUGAUCAGAACAUGUUCCACUGGAACUAAGCAGAUAAGAAUUACUUCAUUCUUUUUUGCCCCUGAGCACCCUAGGAGACCUGUGUUGGAUCUGGGCUUUGUCUGCUUGAAAAAGUGGAAGGGUUGACCUGCUGAAGGGAGAGCCACCAAAGCGCUCCAACAUUACUAUGGUCUUAUAAUGCCUGAGACAGAUCACAAGAUUAACUCUUAUAAUCAACAACAAGAUCAUCAAUUUGUACACUAUAUAAAUUAAAGUGCAUGCAUAUAAAUCUGCAACCUUGAAUAAUACUGUCACAGCUUCUGCUUUGUUUGUUUUGUGCAGCUUCUUGCUUUGACCAUUUCUUGCUUUGACCAUGAAUAUGCCUGCUGGGUCUGGUGCAUGAAAUCCCUUCCAAGUCCUCCCUUUUGCUUCACGAUGAUGCAGAAGGUGACUCUUCAGUCCUUCCCUCCUCUGCUGCCUCCCCCCUCAGACCCAAAUAAACAAAUAAGCGCUGCCAAGAGCUUUUCAGCUGGUGUCCUUUGCUGCCUUCCCUCCUCAGCCAUCCCCUGCGCUGAAAGCAAUGCUUUCCAGCACGUCUCUUCUCAUUCUUCUGCCUUUGCUCGCUGGUUGUUAUAUCACACUAUUUUUAAUUAUAUCUUGAUUUUCGUAACAUUAUUGUAUGUUGUUAUGUUUCUAGAAUGCAAACGUGAGCGUAAUGGGAUCUAUUUUUCAGAGUUGCCAAAACAAAUUAAGGAAAACGCUCGGCUCUUCCUUUGCCAAAUGUUUUAGUGCUUUUCCGUGAAAGCAAAUCUUAUUUCUAACUGUAUAUUAAGCCUUAAGUAAAUAAUGCAGUCUGUCAGAAGCAAAUUCUAUUGUAAAAGCAGUAACUGUUCCCAGGCUUUGCCUGUGAUGCCCGCACGCUGCUCUGCCCGGGAAGGACUGGGCUAGCAAUGAAUUACUGCUCAUUUCAAUCUGCCUUUCACAGAAACGUCUAACUUUUUUGUUUACACUGGACCCAGAUCCCAUAAAUAUGGAGUAUCUGUUGCGGCCGCUCCACGUCUGCCCAGCGAUUACUUCUGGCGUGUUUGGGAAACAAGACGUCCUUUCUUAACAAAAGACUCAAUCUACAAAGGCCGCAAAACAAAAAUUGAUUAAAGUUGAACCGUAGUAUGAAAGUUUACUUCGGUGUAUCAAAUAGCCCGCUGAACUCCAUGAUUUUGACUAGAGGUGACAGCUGAAAAGCACCAGAAACCCUUGGAAUUUCAGAUCUAUAUAUUACUAUAAAGGAAGAAAAUAAAGUUCCGCUAGUAGAAGUUUGGCAUGUAUUUACAAACAGCAUGGCGGGAUGUCUGCAGUGAAAUGCUCCCAGCCCUGUGAUCUCCUGGUAAAGAAGUGUCUUUUCACCGGAAUGAAUGCAUUCUCCUGCAAUUGAGGGAGCCAGGCUGACUUUUUCACCCUGUUGAAUAUUUGGAGUGCUGCCCUUACCUGCACAGCACCACGGGGCAGGCUCAGAGCCUCCCCGAUCGCUGCAAGGCCAGAGGCUGACUGAAGGCCCAUUCAC